GGCCCAGAUGAGAAGAGGUAGGGAAGGGAAAGGGGAGCUGGGCUCGGGCGCUGCUGCUGCUCUGCUGGGCUGGCCAUUGGGCCGAGGGAGGUGAGGGAGGAGAGGGCCUUCAGGCCAAAAGCAGUGGAGGGAGAGUUUUUCCCUUUUUCUUUUCUUUUGUUUUCUUUUGUUGGUUUUUAUUUCAAAAGCCAUUUGAAACUCUUUU
rnacentral:lncRNA from 1 species